rnacentral:rRNA from 1 species
GAUGAACGCUAGCUACAGGCUUAACACAUGCAAGUCGAGGGGAAACGACAUCGAAAGCUUGCUUUUGAUGGGCGUCGACCGGCGCACGGGUGAGUAACGCGUAUCCAACCUGCCCAUCACUUGGGAAUAACCUUGCGAAAGUAAGACUAAUACCCAAUGAUAUCCCACGAAGGCAUCGGAAUGGGAUUAAAGAUUUAUCGGUGAUGGAUGGGGAUGCGUCUGAUUAGCUUGUUGGCGGGGUAACGGCCCACCAAGGCAACGAUCAGUAGGGGUUCUGAGAGGAAGGUCCCCCACAUUGGAACUGAGACACGGUCCAAACUCCUACGGGAGGCAGCAGUGAGGAAGAUUGGUCAAUGGGCGAGAGCCUGAACCAGCCAAGUAGCGUGCAGGAAGACGGCCCUAUGGGUGGUAAACUGCUUUUAGAAGGGAAUAAAGUGGGUCACGUGUGACUUUUUGCAUGUACCUUAUGAAUAAGGACCGGCUAAUUCCGUG